GAUGAACGCUGGCGGCGUGCCUAAUACAUGCAAGUAGAACGCUGAAGGAAGGAGCUUGCUCUUUCCGGAUGAGUUGCGAACGGGUGAGUAACGCGUAGGUAACCUGCCUGGUAGCGGGGGAUAACUAUUGGAAACGAUAGCUAAUACCGCAUAACAGUAGAUGUUGCAUGAUAUCUACUUAAAAGGUGCAAUUGCACCACUACCAGAUGGACCUGCGUUGUAUUAGCUAGUUGGUGAGGUAACGGCUCACCAAGGCGACGAUACAUAGCCGACCUGAGAGGGUGAUCGGCCACACUGGGACUGAGACACGGCCCAGACUCCUACGGGAGGCAGCAGUAGGGAAUCUUCGGCAAUGGACGGAAGUCUGACCGAGCAACGCCGCGUGAGUGAAGAAGGUUUUCGGAUCGUAAAGAUCUGUUGUAAGAGAAGAACGAGUGUGAGAGUGGGAAGUUCACACUGUGACGGUAUCUUACCAGAAAGGGACGGCUAACUACGUG
rnacentral:rRNA from 1 species